rnacentral:rRNA from 1 species
GACGAACGCUGGCGGCGUGCUUAACACAUGCAAGUCGAACGGAAAGGCCCUGCUUUUGUGGGGCGCUCGAGUGGCGAACGGGUGAGUAACACGUGAGUAACCUGCCCUUGACUUUGGGAUAACUUCAGGAAACUGGGGCUAAUACCGGAUAGGAGCUCCUGCUGCAUGGUGGGGGUUGGAAAGUUUCGGCGGUUGGGGAUGGACUCGCGGCUUAUCAGCUUGUUGGUGGGGUAGUGGCUUACCAAGGCUUUGACGGGUAGCCGGCCUGAGAGGGUGACCGGCCACAUUGGGACUGAGAUACGGCCCGGACUCCUACGGGAGGCAGCAGUGGGAGAUAUUGCACGAUGGGCGGAAGUCUGAUGCAGCAACGCCGCGUGCGAGAUCACGGCCUUCGGGUUGUAAAGCGUUUGCGCCUGUGACGAAGCGUGAGUGACGGUAAUGGGUAAAGAAGCACCGGCUAACUACGUG